rnacentral:lncRNA from 1 species
UCAAACAUAAGAAAUUUUUAUAAAAAAAUAAAGAACUCAGAUAAAUCGCGUAUGAAAGAUAUAUUAAUGACAGGCUUAAGCCCACUCCAAAACCACACCAAGUAUGGAGGCCCAAGAACGAGUUUAACCAAAACGACGCUGCAGCAUCAGCCUCUGCCACAAGCCGUACCUGCAAAGAAGACAAAGAAGACAUUAAAGCUCUCAAUGCUAAAUGUCUGAAGGCGGCGUCCGUAAAAGCAAUCAGAAGCUCACAGACAGCUCAUGUGAUUGCAACGGCUAAUAGAUUCCAAGCUCUAUGUGAUGAGCUGGCAGAGACAUCUUAAACCCUAGUAGAAUUCUCUAUUUAAGUAAUUGUAAUAACAAGAACAAUGCAAGAGAGUUUAUGAAAUAAGAAAGUUAUACCUCUUCACCUCUGUUAAGCCUCUGCUUUCAUGGUAUCAGAGCACCAUGGACAUUGAGCCUUACACACCACCUUCACUAAACGUGAUACACUGUGUCACGGUCAAACUCACCGAACAAAACUUCAUCUUUUGGAAACGACAGUUCCAAUCUUUUUUGAGUGGACAACGUCUCUAUGGCUUCGUCACUGGAUCUAUGUCUCAACCUGUUCCCACCAUCAUGGCUCCUUCCAUCACCGGCGUAGCGACUCCUGUUCCAAAUCCGGACCACGAACUAUGGGUUCAGACAGACCAAGUUGUUCAAUCCUGGCUACUGGGUUCUCUGUCUGAGCAGCUGCAAAGUGUUGUUCUGAACUGCGUGACUUCUUGUGAGAUCUGGCAAGCUCUUGAGAAGCACUUCAACAGACCGUCUAACUCUCGGAUGUUCGAACUGCAGCUCAAGCUCCAAACUUUAAACAAGUCCUCCAAGAAGAUGGCUGAUUAUCUCACAGAGAUAAAGAAUCUCAGUGACCAACUGGCGUCCAUUGGAAACCCUAUCUCGGAGACCAUGAAGAUCUUCUCAGCUCUACGAGGUCUUGGAAGAGAGUAUGAGCCUAUCAAGACGACCAUUGAGAACACUAUGGAUAAUGUUCCUUCUCCUUCGUUUGAAGACAUUACUCCUAAGCUUGUUAGCUUUGACGAACGUCUUCAGAGCUAUGCUUCCAACUCUGAAGUCUCCCCUCAUCUGGCCUUCUCCUCUGUUCAGAUGAACCAAGAACAGGCCUUUUACUCAUCUCGUGGGAGACACUACAGAGGCCGUCGCGGAGGUUAUCGUGGAAGAGGCUCCUCCUUUUCCACGCGUGGCCGAGGAUUUCACCAGCAGAUUUCCUCCCCUCGCAACUCAGACUCAGAUUCUCGUCCAGUUUGUCAGAUCUGCGGUAAGCCUGGCCAUCCUGCUCUUCGCUGCUACCAUCGUUUUGACUUCAGCUACCAGGAUGACGUCCCUCAAGCUCUGGCUGCGAUGAGAAUCACAGAUGUCUCUGACUCUGAAGGAGCAGACUGGUACUCAGACAGUGGAGCUACAGCUCAUGUCACCAGUUCUCCUCAGCAUCUCCAACACUCACAGCCAUACUACGGCUCAGAUACAGUGAUGGUAGGAGACAGCAA